UGCAAAAGUAGUAGGGAGAUUUUAGCAAUGAGUUGAAUCAGCAGGCAUAAGGCUCCUUACACAAGUUGGUGGUUCUAUGUCUACCAAAUAAGUUUAGCAUUGUACUUACUGUACAUGUAUUACUAUACACAAAAUUGUAUUCACUAUAUAUAAGCACAACAAAGAGAAUGAAGAUGGUAAUGUAGGAACAUUUCCAUUUAAUCUUCUGUUGGUACAACCUGCAGAGACCCAUUGUUUAGAUAGAGAGUAGGUGUAUGGAGUAUAAGUUAUCUAUAUUUUUUUCUGUAAACAAUGAUGUACUUGGUAUCAAUAUCUGAAAGUGGUGAGGGUGGAAUGAAAUGAAGAAACUAAUAAAGAAACGAUGCCAGGAAAAAGCAGAACUUACAGCCUUCUCCUAGCACGCUUAGUAGCAUUCAUAAGCUCUGUCAACAAAGGAAGGGGUCGAGGCACUGGCACAUGCAUAGACCGGUAUAAUUUUCUCAAACUUGGGAUAUAACUGUUUGACAAUCCAACCGCUGAC
rnacentral:lncRNA from 1 species